CGGGUGAGUAACGCGUGAGCAACCUGCCUAUGACAGUGGGAUAGCCUCGGGAAACCGGGAUUAAUACCGCAUAAAAUCGUAGAAACACAUGUUUUAACGGUCAAAGAUUUAUCGGUCAUAGAUGGGCUCGCGUCUGAUUAGCUAGUUGGUGAGACAACAGCCCACCAAGGCGACGAUCAGUAGCCGGUCUGAGAGGAUGAACGGCCACAUUGGAACUGAGACACGGUCCAA
rnacentral:rRNA from 1 species